GUAGGUGGCGAGCGUUGUCCGGAUUUACUGGGCGUAAAGAGCGCGCAGGCGGCUGGUCAAGUCCGAUGUGAAAGCUCCCGGCUUAACUGGGAAAUUGCAUCGGAAACUGAUCGGCUGGAAGGUGGGAGAGGGUAGCGGAAUUCCCGGUGUAGUGGUGAAAWGCGUAGAUAUCGGGAGGAACACCAGUGGSGAAAGCGGCUACCUGGCCCAUUCUUGACGCUGAGGCGCGAAAGCUAGGGGAGCAAACGGGAUUAGAUACCCCGGUAGUCCUAGCCGUAAACGAUGAACACUAGGSGUAGUCGGUAUCGACCCCGGCUGUGCCGUAGCUAACGCAUUAAGUGUUCCGCCUGGGGAGUACGGCCGCAAGG
rnacentral:rRNA from 1 species